UCCAUGAAUUUAGGAAUUUGCUAGGAUUGGAAUGAUACAGAGGAGAUUACCAUGGCCCCUGUGUAAGGAUGACACGUAAAUUCGUGAAGCGUUUGAUAUUAAA
ensembl:snRNA U6 U6 spliceosomal RNA